AGAUUGAACGCUGGCGGCAUGCUUUACACAUGCAAGUCGAACGGUAACGCGGGGGCAACCCUGGCGACGAGUGGCGAACGGGUGAGUAAUACAUCGGAACAUGUCCUGGAGUGGGGGAUAGCUCGGCGAAAGCCGGAUUAAUACCGCAUACGCUCUGAGGAGGAAAGCGGGGGACUCGUAAGGGCCUCGCGCUGCGGGAGUGGCCGAUGUCGGAUUAGCUAGUUGGUGAGGUAAAGGCUCACCAAGGCGACGAUCCGUAGCUGGUCUGAGAGGAUGAUCAGCCACACUGGGACUGAGACACGGCCCAGACUCCUACGGGAGGCAGCAGUGGGGAAUUUUGGACAAUGGGGGCAACCCUGAUCCAGCCAUGCCGCGUGAGUGAAGAAGGCCUUCGGUUGUAAAGCUCUUUCGGACGGACGAAACUGGUUACGGUGAAUACCUGUGACUGAUGACGGUACCGUAAAUAAGAAGUCAACCGGCUAACGUACGUGCCAGCAGCCG
rnacentral:rRNA from 1 species